UUGCUUUCUUCCUCUUCCUGGCGGCUGUCAUCAAGACUGCAAUCUUCACAUCGACGUUUGGCUAUCAACGGGUAAAAUCACGGAGGCGAGCUUGGAAAACUGUAUCGAAGAGCUUCUUGGCGACAGACAUGGAUCCUCGCAGCAACUAAUUCAACUUGGAUGAGAUGAUUUGAGAUGAACAAGCCGGAGCAAAAUGACAGAUUUUUUAACAGGUGGUGGGGUUGGAUGAGAUGAUCUGAAAUUUUCCACCACAAUAGCUUAAAUUCGUCGUUCUCGUGGCUGAGGAAGCAGCCGAGCGACUAAUUUCAUCGCCGUAUUGGGUCAAGAGGGUCAGGCGAUUGACGGAUUUAAUCUCUCCUUCCUAUGUAGCAUUCGUCAGAUUCACUCUAUCUCUGGUUUCUCUUGAAGGAAAAGGGGAAGAGGAAGAAGGAAGUUACAGUGGAAUAACGGAUUCAAUCUUACAUCUGUUGAAGAAUCAAUGAGCUUAUUUGGCGGUAACUAUUCAGCAGUCAAGUGGCACAGCGGGCAGCUUUGAGUUAAAAAUUUAAUGGGUGUAAAAAUAAAUCAACAUAUUAAAUUGGGUUUAUGAGGGUAUAUUAGGUAUUAAAUUUAAGUUUAAAAAGAUAAUAAUAGUUUAGUUAAAAAUCAAAUGGGUGAAAAGAGUAAAUUGAGUGUAUAAAUAGGUUAGAUGAGUUUAAAUAAAAUUUUCCUUAAAAUUGUAUGAGAUCUGAGUUUUAGAAAAUAAUUUAAUUUUGUAUUAUAUACUUCUAUUUCUUUU